GAUGAACGCUGGCGGCGUGCUUAACACAUGCAAGUCGAACGGGAAUUAUUUUAUUGAAACUUCGGUCGAUUUAAGUUAAUUCUAGUGGCGGACGGGGGAGUAACGCGUGGGUAACCUGCCUUAUACAGGGGGAUAACAGUCAGAAAUGGCGGCUAAUACCGCAUAAGCGCACAGAGCGGCAUGGCUCAGUGUGGAAAACUCCGGGGGUAUAAGAUGGACCCGCGUUGGAUUAGCUGGUUGGUGGGGUAACGGCCCACCAAGGCGACGAUCCAUAGCCGGCCGGGGAGGGGGCACGGCCACGUUGGGAAUGAGACACAGCCCAGACUCCUACGGGAGGCAGCAGUGGGGAAUAUUGCACCAUGGGGGAGACCGUGAUGCAGCGACGCCGCGUGAAGGCAGAAGUAGCUCGGUAUGUAAACUUCUAUCAGCAGGGAAGAUAGUGACGGUACCUGACUAAGAAGCCCCGGCUAACUACGUG
rnacentral:rRNA from 1 species